CUCAUAUUUCUCUGUUUACACUGAAGCAACUCUAAUGCUUUGAAAUCUCACCCUUUGUGUACAUUAAUCGGUUGAACAUAUUACAAUUGAUCACCCUAUUUAUGGGGAAAUGUGGAAGUCCUUGCAAAGUACAUUCCCCUUGAGGUUAUCAUCUGGGUCAAUUAGUGCAUCACCCCAUUUGGAUUGCAAUGGUAGAUUUGCAUAAAUAUGCAAAAGCAAACGAUAUC